CCCCACUAUGCUCAACCGUAAACCUUAACUUACACCCAAAUCGCCAGGGAACUACGAGCUGACGCUUAAAACCCAAAGGACUUGACGGUGCCCCAUAUCCACCUAGAGGAGCCUGUCCUAUAAUCGAUAACCCCCGUUCAACCUCACCACUCUUUGCCUAUCAGUCUGUAUACCUCCGUCGUCAGCUUACCACGUGAGCGCAAUUCAGUAAGCGAGAGAGUCUCCGCUAAAACGUCAGGUCAAGGUGCAACUUAUAGAGUGGGAAGAGAUGGGCUACACUCUCUAACUUAGAACAAACGAAAGACUACUCAUGAAACCUUAGUCAGAAGGCGGAUUUAGAAGUAAACAGAGACAAGAGCGCUCCGUUUAACACGGCCCUGGGGUGUGUACACACCGCCCGUCACCCUCUUCGAAGCUUCCUAAAUAGUAUUUAACACAAUUUGUGCUAUAAAGAAGAGGCAAGUCGUAACAUGGUAAGCUUACCGGAAGGUGUGCUUGGAAA
rnacentral:rRNA from 1 species